rnacentral:rRNA from 1 species
UAGGGAAUCUUCCGCAAUGGGCGAAAGCCUGACGGAGCAACGCCGCGUGAGUGAUGAAGGUCUUCGGAUCGUAAAACUCUGUUAUUAGGGAAGAACAAAUGUGUAAGUAACUAUGCACGUCUUGACGGUACCUAAUCAGAAAGCCACGGCUAACUACGUGCCAGCAGCCGCGGUAAUACGUAGGUGGCAAGCGUUAUCCGGAAUUAUUGGGCGUAAAGCGCGCGUAGGCGGUUUUUUAAGUCUGAUGUGAAAGCCCACGGCUCAACCGUGGAGGGUCAUUGGAAACUGGAAAACUUGAGUGCAGAAGAGGAAAGUGGAAUUCCAUGUGUAGCGGUGAAAUGCGCAGAGAUUGGGAGGAACACCAGUGGCGAGAACGUCUUUCUGGUCUGUAACUGACGCUGAUGUGCGAAAGCGUGGGGAUCAAACAGG